CCAAGAUGGCCGACAGAAAUGUCUGAAGAAGGUGCCUGUUUUCUCUUCAUUUAUUAUACAUCAACGAGACUUUUAUUCAAGUUUCUGGUCAUCAUAAGGGAUUUAUAAAUGUUUGUUCAUGCCAAAGAAAGAUAUAGAGAUGAUAGAAGCAAUUUCUAUCAUAUAGAAUACCAAGUAAACUAUGGCAUGGCUGGAUAUGAAUUUUAUCGAUAGGACGUUCAACAGGUUAUGUUGGAAAGGGARUSUUUCUCUGAUCAGCAGAACUUUGUUUGUCCAAAGUACAGUUGAACUAUGUUGAUGACCAUGGUGGCUCUGCUUGAGUCCAUAAACAUGACAAAAAUGAUGAAGAGCUGCAAUUUUGGCAACAAAUAGACUGCUCAAUACACCUGGUCUACUACAAGUAUAAUUUAGCUUGACAGUGAAGACUCACAUAAACACAAGUUACUUUCUGUCAMGCUUGGCAAGGAAAUAUCUGACAGUAUGAUCAAUUCAAACUGUCUCUAAACAAGAUGUGAACAAGAAGAAGAUAACAUUUCAUAGAAUAUAUAACUAUCAGCAAUAUUCAAAGAACAAUCUUUUGGCUGGAGGGCUGGSUUUUCUUGUUUUUGCAAGUUUUUGUUUAUUUUCCUGAAUAAUUGCCUUUUACUUAAGUAAUUUUUCUGAGUAUUCCUCAGUAAUGAUUCCUGAUGCCAAUUUCUUCAGUGCACUAUUAAACAGUGCUGUGUUUCAAGAAUCUUAGGAAUUGAAUAAGGUUGAAAGAGUAACUUAACUUAGAAUGAAAAUGGCCAUGCCAGUCCUCCAGCCACAAGCAAUAGAUACAGGAGUGUGUCCAUAUUAGGUUAGAUUCCCUGACCUAACAAUUAUUCCUUGCAGUCAUAAUUUUAAAAAAAGUUGUCUUGUAGUUUAGGUCAGAGUUCUCAGUUACUUUGCACAGUGUUAGGACACACUCCUGUAUCUAUUGUUUAUUUAUGACAAAAAAGAAAUAAACUUCAUGCCUCCCACGAGGCCCUGCCAGCACCAUAACAGAAGCCACCCCAAAUGCAGGCCAGAAAAUCUAAACAGUAGUCUUGCUGCCCUGACUAGAGCCAAGUUAUAAGGCCAAGACCAGCAAACYUUAGACUGCCCUGAUACUGAAGACUGUCUGCAUGGAUGUCAGACCUCCACUUACUGCAGACUCCAGGGGAGGACUCUGGUGUCAUCCAAGUCAGCAAAAAAGGUGAGGGUCAGUGCAAAUGCGAGUCUUGUGGGCCCCUGCCCCACCACCCACUGGAUAUGUAUGGCAKUGAUGUACUGGGUGAUCAGUAGGCUUGAAGUGAUGCUUCAUUCAGACUUCUCCAAACUAAGUGAUUAUCAAACUGACAUGGAAGACU